GAUGAACGCUGGCGGCGUGCUUAACACAUGCAAGUCGAACGAAGCACCUUGAGAUCUUCGGAAGGAAAGGUGACUGAGUGGCGGACGGGUGAGUAACGCGUGGGUAACCUGCCUCAUACAGGGGGAUAACAGUUAGAAAUGACUGCUAAUACCGCAUAAGCGCACGAUACCGCAUGGUAUUGUGUGAAAAACUCCGGUGGUAUGAGAUGGACCCGCGUCUGAUUAGCUAGUUGGUGGGGUAACGGCCUACCAAGGCGACGAUCAGUAGCCGACCUGAGAGGGUGACCGGCCACAUUGGGACUGAGACACGGCCCAA
rnacentral:rRNA from 1 species